CAGGCGUCUAGGCAGCCGUCCACAGAGAUGCGGGUCCUCCGCGGAGCCUAGAGAGGACGCGGAAGUGGGCUGGGGGCGGGGUCCGAGGCCCCUGCAGACUCCGCGUCCGCCGGCUGGGUGCGGCCCCGCGGCUGCCAGAGAGUCGGUCGGAAGCGAGCGCUGGAGGGGCGAUGCCGUGCACUUUGCCCCUCUGUCCUUCCGUUUCCCUCGCCGAGCCAUGCCCCUGGCGGCCGAGGAGAGUGGGCGCGGGUCCCGAAUCCCCCGGCGGGGUCGACGCCGCUGUGCAUCGCCGGGUGCCCGGGGUCGUUGGGGCCCCGCCACCCUCGGUCCCCGCGCCCUCCUCUUCUCAGGCCGUCCGUCCCGCGCUGCUCAAGUUUCCAGCCCUGCUCCUCUUGUAGGAGCAGGGGUGGGAUGACCCCGGGCCAGAGUGGACAAACCUCCUGUUCCUGGAGCCGGUGCCCUGUGAGGAUGCGGACGUGGGCUUCAGAUAAGAGUGGAGGCGCCUGUCCGCCCUGGGAAAGCUCUGCGCGGACGUGAUGCCGAAGAUUUCUGGAAACGUCGUCGCACUGAGUAAGGCCUUUCCUGGGACCCACAGUCGGUCUGACUGGAAGGCUUAACUGCGGCUUCUUACUGGGGCCCUCCUCCGCAUUCCCCCUCUCGUGUGUCGUGGAACGUGUCAGGGACUGGAGAGCUUCCAGAAUGUGUCCGAAUACACCUCUGAGCUCAAGUUUCUUCUGUUUUUUGUUUGUUUUUGUUUUCUUAGUAUUACUUUAUUUCUUCUUUAUAUUACUUAUUUGUGUGUCACACAAAAGGCUUGGAAUUUCGCUGUGUCCCUUUUUGGUAUGGUGAGAGUGUUGCUGAAUCCAGGUUUACAGUCCCUGAUCCCCCCUAUAUUGACAGGGAGAGCCUGGAGGUGCUACUGGGCCUUGAGGCAAGGUAUUUCCACUUCUAGACUCAUGUCUUCCGAUUCUUACCUGUGAAAAGCGGGCAGUUUUCUAAGUGUUCUCAAUGACUGCCUUUCUCAUACCUGGAGUUCCCCACAGCAGGAUCCCAGGCCUGGGAUGGACUGACUGGUAGGUUUCUAGGGUAGCUGCCCUCUGCCACUGCCUUUCAGGGCAUCCCAGACACACAAAAAGGGCCACGUUGCUUUCCAGGCCUGAGAAUAUAUUCUGACCCCAGAAAGAGCAUAUUUCUCCAACUUCCCCAAAUAUAUGAAAUGAGUCUUUAGCUCCUUUUGUCCCUGUAAUUCUGUAUCAACGAUUUAGUGAGAUUCGGUUCAGGGGGAUAUUAAGGUGGAAGCCUCUCACCUAGAGUUUGCCAGCCCCUCAUACUUUGUAGUUAGAAAAGGAGUCCCCACCUCAAGUGUUGGAGAAAGUGUGUAAGAAUGGGAUGGAGCUGAACUCCACCCUUGAUAUGAGAGUGUGAUAGAAAAAAGAUCCCCAGAAUAUCAUCUAAAAAGGAAAACCGGAACUAUGGACCAGGCUUUAACUGCCCGUUGCCUGUAUUUGUUUAGUGAUCAGCAGGAAAAUCUUUAUCUGCGAAGCUUUUUUAGGUUAGAGUGGACAGCACGAAGGCAGAAAACUGGGAGGUCUACAGCUAGUCAUGGGGAGAAAGGAAAGAAGGAAGCGGAUGGAGUAUCUAGAACCAGAGGGAAGGAGCCAAGGGUGGAGCAGGAGGAGAGUUAGCCUGCCUGGGGCCAUGAGAUUAGCGGGCUCACCAGCGGAGAGGUGCCCUGAUACUCUGAUUCCUUAACAUGCUGACCCUUUUCCUUGUCCACUAGUAGGCUUUUCAGUUUAUAAACCUGAGGCGAUGAGCCUUUUGGGAAGGGAGGAGGCCUCGUGUGUCCGUGCUGGACAAAAAACCACAGCCAGACGGUGGGUGCAGGAAUGCCUUUGGGGCCCCUGUCCUGCUCUGCCUUCGACUCAUACUGAUUAUAAACAGAGACUGGGCCUUUGGAUCUGGAACCCCCAAACUCUCAGAACCCUCCUGUUCAAAUAAGCACCACGCUGAAGCCGGUGGCCCGUAUGCUGACAUUGGAUGAGAAAAGGUGUCUGGGUGAUGGCAAUGAGACCUCCAACCCUCCCUCCUCACCUCUGUCCUCUUAGUGAAAUCGUAGGGACUUCUCACCCAGGGGAAUAGGAAGAGGACCUGAGAGAUGUCUCGACAGGAAGAGCUGUUUGCCCCUUGAGGACGAGACCCUCCCUGGCUGGGGAGGGCCGAGAGCCCCUGCCUGCUCCAUGCUCUCCUGGCUGCUGAGGGCCGGGGCCCUGGCCCUGGCACAGGAUUGAUGCCCUCCUUGCCAUCCAGACAGUUGGGGCACACUCUCCCUGGUUUCCUAAAGGCAGAAGAAUAACUUCAACUACCAGACAUUUAAACAGUUGGAGCUUUAUUACAGACAAGGUUAACUUAAACAUAUACACUGUCAAAUUCUGUUUAAAGACUAAAUCCAAUAAAGUCAUUGUUUC
ensembl:lncRNA